rnacentral:misc_RNA from 1 species
AUUCUAACGAAUGAAAUUGACUAUCUUAGAUUAGUAGCUAAAAUACUUCUAUCAAAAGAAAAGAUCGAAAUGACAGAAAGGAGAAUAUUAUAUACCUAAUACAUACGUCUAGAUACUUACAUAGUAAAUGAUUCAUUCCAGAGUUUGAUCGAUCUUUUGAAGAUUAAUCGGACGAGAAUAAAGAGAGAGUCCCUUUUUACAUGUCAAUACCGACAACAAUGAAAUUUAUAGUAAGAGAAAAAUCCGUCGAAUUUUAAAAUCGUGAGGGUUCAAGUCCCUCUAUCCCCAAGAAAAAGCCCAUUUUAUUUACUCGCUCUUUAUCAUUAUUGUGACAUUUACAAAGAAUUUGAAGAUCUAAGAAAUUAAGGGGGACUAGGUCCAAUUUUUUUGAGACUUUCUUUUUUAGUUCUUUUCAUUGACAUAGAAAUAAGUACUUUGCUAGGAUGAUGCACGGAAAAGG